AUAAAAAGGAAACGUCAAGAUGCGAUGAUGUGUCAUAUUUCCAUAUGCUUGGUUGACGAAAUAAGCAUUAAAGGAAUGUUAUUAGAUCACGAAUUGGAAUAUUUGGUGAUGCUAAAAUAUAGGAAAUACUAUAUUAGAUAAUAGGAAAAUAUUAUUUAAUAUAUAUGGUGGCUUUACCUAAGAUUAGGGUUAGAGUUUUCAAGUUGUAAUUUUCAGAGAGAAACACAAAGGGUUUUGGGGUUUCAUAGCUGAGUGAAUUGGUAGACUUGAUCAACAGGUGUUGAGUCAAGCAAGUUGGGUUUGUUAGAAAUCGAUCCGUGUCGAGUUGUGUAAUUCGGAUCAAACAAAUCUGUAAGAGAUUGUGUAAAGAAUUUCUAAUAAAAGAUAUACGAGUUCUUGGAAUUACUUUGUGCCUUGUGUUUUCACUGUAUCUCGAUUCCACAAUCCUUCUAUUCCAACAAACAAUAUAUUUCCGUUUUUCUCUAUCCCUUUCAACUAAAUAAUUUUUGGCAUAAUUAAAAGAUUUUUGUGAUAUGGAACAAGAGAUCAUCGCAGAUUUGCGGAUUUUAAGUUAAGCGUUUUGUACGAGGUGAUUACGAAGGCGAUUUGUCUUAGGGUUCUGAGAAGUGGACGAAGGUUUUGAGACUUGAUUUUCAUCUUGCUAGGAAACCCUUUAGUGGCUUCCCUAAUGGUGGUUCUGAAUUCAAGAUGGAGACGUUGAUCCCUGCACUAACAAGUUCCAAGUUUGCAAAAAAAAAAAAAAUCAAAAGAGAGGGAAGAUUGAGCAGUCAUUGAUUAACAUAAACAUAUAUGUCUUUUUAUUUAUCCGAGAACUCCUUUGUGGUUUUGUUGGCAUUUGGUCGGUGUAGGUGAUUUGUAGGGUCUGGGUUUGAAGAAUCUUUGGAAUACAUAUUUUCUGAAUUCUGUAUCGCAAUUUUUGACAUACACUGAGUGCUUAGAUGCUUACUUUCUAGAUGUUGGCAAUGUGAAAUCCUGUAUGUUGCAUUUAGAAGCUGGUUUGAUUAAUUGCUUGGCUUGGUGGGUCUUUUAUUCAGUGUCUAAUUGGAUGUUCUCAUGAAAACGUUUGUGUAGUCCAUGUGACUGGGUUUUGUGCUUUAUGUGCAAUGCAGAGGCAUGUUAGGACGACCCUUCAAGCUCCUGGCAGAAUAGCAGCACCAAGUCUCAAACUUUGGAGGAUCUCUGCCCUUGCAGGAUCUUCUUUGAGGAAUGAGAGGAGCCACAUCUCAUGUCAUUGGCAAAAAAGCCGAAAUGAUGAAAGCAAUGAUUUUCACAAAAGUUCCGGUGGAUGUCGAUCCUAUGCUUUAAUUGGAGGAUAGCAAUCAAUAAACACCUCAGCUUUUGUCUAUCAUUUUCAUAAGAUUUUUUUGUUUCACUCAUAUAUUCGUGUACCUCUCAACUUUCCCCUGAUGUUAAAGAACAGGAAACUUCAGCA